ensembl:lncRNA
AGCGAUCCGUACUUUUCGCGGAUUUUCGUUCCCGCUCAACAUACUUCCGGAAAUAGAAGUUGUUUGAGAAGAGCGUCAUAAAGAAAUAGAAGCAUUCGGCUAAUUUUAAAUCAGUGUACUAUCAGAGGAUUCUGAAACUGAUAUUUUAAGGGAAAAAAAUUUAUACAGUUGCUUUCAUCAAGGAAGGACCCCUAUUUUUGUUCCAAAUCGUGUUGGAGGAUUAAAUGUUUGUUGGGAUUAUUUGAUAGAAGUUCGUUUAGUAAACGAGGAAGUAUCCAACUGUAUUGGAUUUGACAGCAGCAACAUCACAAAAUAAUUCAAUCUCAGCUCUCUCUCAUGCACAGCCACCGUCAUCCAGUGCAUGUGGUCUGUCUGUCUGUCAGUAAGCUGUCUAUCACAUGCGGUCCAGGCUAUCCAGUCAGGCCUCAGGCACACACUCAAAGAAGCCUGGCUGUGCCUGAUGGAUUCCAAGUGCACGCCUCCCUCCGAAACUUUCCAUCGGCUUACACCGAGAUGCACUUCUGUCAGGAGAAAAUAAUGAGCAAUGCAAACUCGCUUGACCUCUGUGCACUGAGGAAGAUCUUCUCUGCCGACAUAUUUUGAAACCUCAUGAACUGGCCCUGCAUUAAUAUGGACAAAUUGCAAUACAACCCCUCUGAUCACAUGUCAUGUUUGUUGAGUAUUUCCACUGGUGUUGAUCUCCGAAGCCGUCGGAUAAAUAUUUCAGCAUCGCUCUUUUUCACCCAUCAUAAUAGUGAACUUAAUGCAAACCUUUGGUAGUGGGCAGCAAUCAGUCCUCGGCCAAAUGCAAUCAGACAGGUGCUUCAAAUGCAAUCAGGCUGAGAUGUUAGUCAUUAAAGUGCUAAUAAGUAUUCUUAUGUCCUGUAAGACCAGCGUAGGUAACAGUGCAGAUCUUUCUCCAGCCAUUAUAAUGCAAUCUAGACACUUUCCAUGCAAUUACUUUCAGAGGUACUGUGAAGCAUUAUUAUUUCUUAGCUGUGCAUAUGUCAAUUUUUUUCCGGCCAGGCUGAAUAUGGACACUGGCCAGCGUGCUAACGCUUCUGUACUUGGCCUUCCAUACGCUAAAUAAAUAAACAAGGUGAUGAUGAGCGCUGCAGGAGUGUGUGUGCUUCUCAUGAUGAUUCACCUAAAUAACAAGCAAAGGAAAGUGCAUUUGGCAAGCGUUUUAUAAUCAGAAAAGCAGAAAGUUACUGCAUCUCAAAGUGCACUCUAUUCCUUUGCAAGCUGCUUUGGCUUAUUGAGUUACUGCCCCCUGCUGCCCAGUGCAUACAUUGCAUAUUGUGUUAUUUGAAGUGCAGAUAUUGCACGUUAGAGCUAACCAAUUAUAUAGGCACAUUCAAAGGCCACUUACACCUCUCCAGUUUAUUACAUGGUUAGUGAAAUAAAGUGAUUUUGGAAACCAUGCAACAAGCUGUAUGUAUGCCUGAAAUCCUGCUGCAUGUCAGUACAGCUCUCUUUGUGAGAGUCAUUGCCAUUUGCUUUCCUGUCAUGGAUUUGGAGAUUUUCUAAGUGUGUGUUUCUCCAUCUCAGGUGAUGGUGGAUUAUUUGCACCCUAUGAUUAAAUGAAAAUCAGUGGUGUUUGAAGAUUUUCUUGGGUUUCUAAAGGAUGAAUGUGACCAGUCAUAACAAAUGUUGUACACCAAUAUAUAGUUGUACAUCAAUUAAUUAUAUGUCAAAAUGUCAAAAUAUUGGACGUGUACUUUUUGCCAAGUAAAAAAAAAAAAAAAAAA